rnacentral:rRNA from 1 species
AGACGGAGGGGGCUAGCGUUGUUCGGAAUUACUGGGCGUAAAGGGCACGCAGGCGGCCUGCGUAGUCAGGCGUGAAAGCCCCGGGCUCAACCCGGGAAUUGCGUUUGAUACUGGCAGACUGGAGUCCGGGAGACGGUAGUGGAAUUCCCAGUGUAGAGGUGAAAUUCGUAGAUAUUGGGAAGAACACCAGUGGCGAAGGCGGCCACCUGGGCCGGUACUGACGCUGAGGUGCGAAAGCGUGGGGAGCAAACAGGAUUAGAAUCCCCAGUAGUCC